rnacentral:rRNA from 1 species
AUUGAACGCUAGCGGCAUGCCUUACACAUGCAAGUCGAACGGCAGCACGGGAGCAAUCCUGGUGGCGAGUGGCGAACGGGUGAGUAAUAUAUCGGAACGUGCCCAGUCGUGGGGGAUAACGUAGAGAAAUUUACGCUAAUACCGCAUACGAUCUACGGAUGAAAGCGGGGGAUCGCAAGACCUCGCGCGAUUGGAGCGGCUGAUAUCAGAUUAGGUUGUUGGUGAGGUAAAAGCUCACCAAGCCGACGAUCUGUAGCUGGUUUGAGAGAACGACCAGCCACACUGGGACUGAGACACGGCCCAGACUCCUACGGGAGGCAGCAGUGGGGAAUUUUGGACAAUGGGCGAAAGCCUGAUCCAGCAAUGCCGCGUGCAGGACGAAGGCCUUCGGGUUGUAAACUGCUUUUGUACGGAACGAAACAGUCUUUUCUAAUACAGGAGGCUAAUGACGGUACCGUAAGAAUAAGCACCGGCUAACUACGUGCCAGCCGCCGCCGUAA